AGUCGCUCUGACCCGAGGCGCGAGCGCUACCGAGCAUGCGCCUUCUUCCCCUUCCCUUCCCCCACUCCCUUCCAGUCGCUCUUCGGUUCGAUCAGCCCCGCCCACCCCUGGAACUCGGCCAAUCCACGAGCUUCCUGAGGAUUGAGGCCACGCCUCCUCCCAGCUGUGCAGUGAAUUUUAGAAAAAUUUUUGAGUCGGAUUGUUCACGCGGCGUUAACCAGGAAGGGUGGCUGACUAAACCAGAAAUUUAUUUUUGUAAUUAUUGAAGCUAAGAAAAGAGGUACAGAAACAGUGACAAGGAGUUUCAAGAGCUUCUUGAACAAGCUAAGUAGCCAAAGCAGCAAAGCAAGCAGAGAGACAGAGACAAGAGGCAGGUUCACUGUUGUGAACCUUAUCUUCCCUGAACCUCAAAACCUUGCUAGCAGGAAUACCAACAAUCCUGUGUCUUCAACCAUCAUCUUGGGAAGUAGCCUGGCUGUUGCUUCUGUAGGCACUAUAGCAGUAGCUACUGAAGACCCAGAAAAGAAAGUUCUUGCUACCAGUCUUAGACACUAACAAACAUCAGAAACUGAUCUUAUUUUGUCUAUGGAGAUGACAUUAAAGAAAAAGUUUUAGCAUCUGCUUUGCUGCUAUGUCCCAAGGACCAUGGACCUUUCCAUUUUACUUGUAGCUGAAGCCUUCUAUAUAUGUUGUUUCCCUAUCCCAAUGUGCUACCUUGAAAGCAUGGGCAGUCUUGCUUUUCUGUUUGUAGGCCAAUAUUUAGCACAAUGCUUUGCACACAAUAAAUGUUUUCUCAAAAUCAUUGAA